rnacentral:rRNA from 1 species
AACGAACGCUGGCGGCAUGCCUAACACAUGCAAGUCGAACGAGACCUUCGGGUCUAGUGGCGCACGGGUGCGUAACGCGUGGGAACCUGCCCUUAGGUUCGGAAUAACUCCCCGAAAGGGGUGCUAAUACCGGAUAAUGUCUUCGGACCAAAGAUUUAUCGCCUUUGGAUGGGCCCGCGUUGGAUUAGCUAGUUGGUAGGGUAAAAGCCUACCAAGGCGACGAUCCAUAGCUGGUCUGAGAGGAUGAUCGGCCACACUGGGACUGAGACACGGCCCAGACUCCUACGGGAAGCAGCAGUGGGGAAUAUUGGACAAUGGGCGAAAGCCUGAUCCAGCAAUGCCGCGUGAGUGAUGAAGGCCUUAGGGUUGUAAAGCUCUUUUACCCGGGAUGAUAAUGACAGUACCGGGAGAAUAAGCUCCGGCUAACUCCGUG